rnacentral:rRNA from 1 species
UACGUAGGGGGCAAGCGUUGUCCGGAUUUACUGGGCGUAAAGAGCGUGUAGGCGGCCGCGCAGGUCCGUUGUGAAAACUGGAGGCUCAACCUUCAGACGUCGACGGAAACCGUGUGGCUAGAGUCCGGAAGAGGAGAGUGGAAUUCCUGGUGUAGCGGUGAAAUGCGCAGAUAUCAGGAGGAACACCGAUGGCGAAGGCAGGUCUCUGGGCCAUAACUGACGCUGAGAAGCGAAAGCAUGGGGGAGCGAACAGG